CAUGGACAAAUAAAAAGACCAAAAGUUGACACACAGAUCCAAUCGUUGACCCACGGACCCAUGGGUUGACACUUUGGACCCAUAGAUUGACCCACAGCCCCAUUUCAUUGACCAACAGACCCAAUCGUUGGCCAACAAGACUGAGGGUUGGCCAUUGGGUUGACCCACGGACCCAUAGAUUGACCCACAGACCCAUUCAUUGACCAAAAGACCCAAUUGUUGGCCAGCGGAACCGGGGCUUGGCCAUUGACCCAUAGAUUCACCCACGGACCAAUCAAGUGACCAAAAGUUGACCCACGGAUCCAUUCGUUGACCAACGGAGCCAAUCGUUGGCCAACGGAACUGGAGCUUGGCCAUUGGGUUGACCCACGGACCCAUAGAUUGACCCCCAGACCCAUUUGUUGACCAACAGAACCAUGGGUUGACCCCUUAGACCCAUAGGUUAACCCAUGGACCCAAUCGGUGGCCAACAGAACCAUGGGUUGACCCUUGGCUUGACCCACAGACCCAUAGAUUGACCCAUGGACCAAUAAAGUGACCAAAGGUUGACCCACGGACCCAUGGGUUGACACUUUGGACCCAUAGAUUGACCCACACCCCCAUUUCAUUGACCAACAGACCCAAUGGUUGGCCAACAAGACUGAGGCUUGGCCAUUGGGUUGACCCACGGACCCAUAGAUUGACCCCCAGAGCCAUUUGUUGACCAACAGAACCAUGGGUUGACCCUUGGCUUGACCCGCAGACCCAUAGAUUGACCCAUGGACCAAUAAAGUGACCAAAGGUUGACCCACGAACCCAUGGGUUGACACUUUGGACCCAUAGAUUGACCCACAGACCCAUUUCAUUGACCAACAGACCCAAUUGUUGGCCAGUGGAACCUGGGCUUGGCCUUUGACCCAUAGAUU